CCCUUAGAUGUCCUGGGCCGCACGCGCGCUACACUGACAUGUUCAACAAGCCUCCUAGUUCGACAGGAUUUGGGAAAUCUUUGAACGCAUGUCGUGAUAGGGAUAGAUCAUUGCAAUUAUUGAUCUUGAACGAGGAAUUCCUAGUAAACGCGAGUCAUCAGCUCGCAUUGAUUACGUCCCUGCCCUUUGUACACACCGCCCGUCGCACCUACCGAUUGAAUGUUUCGGUGAAGAUUCCGGAUAGGACUUUUUUGAUUUAUUUCAAUUUUGUCUUAAAAGCUAUCUAAACCUCAAUAUUUAGAGGAAGGUGAAGUCGUAACA
rnacentral:rRNA from 1 species